rnacentral:misc_RNA from 1 species
UACUAUUACUACUGUUUCCUGUAA